rnacentral:rRNA from 1 species
UACGUAGGGACCAAGCGUUGUUCGGAUUUACUGGGCGUAAAGGGCGCGUAGGCGGCAAUUCAAGUCAUCUGUGAAAUCUCCGAGCUUAACUCGGAACGGUCAGAUGAUACUGCUUUGCUAGAGUGCGGAAGGGGCAAUCGGAAUUCUUGGUGUAGCGGUGAAAUGCGUAGAUAUCAAGAGGAACACCUGAGGUGAAGACGGGUUGCUGGGCCGGCACUGACGCUGAUAGCGCGAAA